rnacentral:tRNA from 1 species
GGGCGCAUAGUUCAGUGGCAGAACGUUCGAUUCACAUUCGAAAGGUCCGUGGUUCGAUCCCACGUGCGCCCA